UUCUCCCUACGGGGCGCAGCAGUAGGGAAUAUUGCUCAAUGGGGGAAACCCUGAAGCAGCAACGCCGCGUGGAGGAUGAAGGUUUUAGGAUUGUAAACUCCUUUUGUUAGAGAAGAUUAUGACGGUAUCUAACGAAUAAGCCACGGCUAACUACGUGCCAGCAGCCGCGGUAAUACGUAGGUGGCAAGCGUUGUCCGGAUUUACUGGGUGUAAAGGGCGUGUAGCCGGGCUGACAAGUCAGAUGUGAAAUCCGGGGGCUCAACCCCCGAACUGCAUUUGAAACUGUUGGUCUUGAGUAUCGGAGG
rnacentral:rRNA from 1 species